AAUGUAAAUAUUCUUGGGAGUAACAUAUUAUGAUGCUAAAGAAUUAAUGGAUAAAAUGAAUUUAGCUAAUCCUAAAGCUCAUCCUCAGCCUUGAGGCUCAGGGAGGGGACUUGGAGAGGAGAACAAGACAGCACAAGCACCUUCAUGAAUUAGUUUAACUGGAAUUAGUUUAACUGGAAGCUUUCCUGCUGACAGCUUGCUGAUAUGUGUCAAAGGUGGAAGGAAGGAGACUGACAGAAUGGGAGCAAGAGAGGAAAACAGGCUAAUCUUGGAGUCUGGACCUCUGUGAGAGAAAGGAGUCCUGAGUGGAGGGUACCUGAGCAACCUGAAGAGAAACUAGAUGAUGAUAUACCCUGCACGAAGAAGUGGAGGGCCAGGCAGGCAGAUUAUAGUUCAGAUCCAGAUGUUGAAUGGGAGAGCAGAAAUGAAGCAAAUACCCACAGCUGUAAAUGGUGAUUUCUAAAUUUCUGGUAACAUCAAGAAACCAAGCUGUUCUGGAUGAAAAUGAGAGGUUACCUGUGCAGUGAAAAGUGUUUCAAUUGGUGAGUUUUUUCCCCAACUUUUUUUGACUCCUGCUCAUAGUAAGAAAUACAUCACAACCCUGAACAUACAAAUCUUUGAAUAGACAUAUAUGAAUAGAUGUAACUGAAACAGAGACUUGCUCCUGAAACAUUAUGUACAUUUAUUAUUUGAAAUGAAUUUUGAUCUUUUCUAGUCUCCCCUUUUUCAUUAACUUUUUCUCAAGAUCACUAAUGGGUUGCCACCUGCAGUAUGAAUAACACUUCUAGAGAUAUGUUCUUCUCUAAGAAGAGGUUUAUAGAUUUCAGUGACUGCAUGGCAUUGCUUGUUCUCAUAGAGGUGUUGUGGAUGGCAGGAUAAAGAGGAAAAUUCAUCUUCACUUCCCCAGGGAGGAGUGAAAAGCUGUGAAAGGGAAAUGAACCCAGCUAAUCACCUUGGCUCAACAUAGAUUGAACUGUUGGUGCCAUACAUGCAUGUUACACAAUAUUAUGUUAGUCAGACUUCCACAAAUGUACCAAUGCUGGGCUUUUGUGUUCCAAUGUCUUCUUGGAGUCCUAGGACCAAGGUUAGAAAUGAGGGCUGUCAACUAUCUUGGAAAAUCUUGGAACUGAAACAAGGUUGGGUGAUGGCUUUAAGGGAGAAAGAAAUGUCUCUGGGACCUCUGACUCUAAAUCCCCUUCCUCACUGUGCUAGCUCUGGUUCACACCUGCAUCCUCUUGGCCUGAUUUCUGGACUAGGCUUUUGGCCUUAAGGACCUCUUUAAAGGAUUCAGCGCUGCCUCUGUGUCUCGCCUGAACAGAGUGCUCUCCUGUUGGUGAAAUACUUUUCUGUCACAUUUUUCCUUUGCUCCCCAACACUGGGGAAUGGGCAGGGCAUAUUGUGAGCAUCAUUUUGCAGAUAAAGGAACUGAGAUUUAAAUAGAGAGUUUAAAUGACUCUCAAAUUAGCUUGGAGAACUGGGGCUAGAGCUAUAAGAGGGCAUUUACUCUAGAUUGUAGAGUUUCCCAAACUCAUUUUCCCAGAGAAUCAUUUCUGCAAACACCUAUCAGUAUUUGAAGGACGCCAGUUUUCCAAGAAACACAGUUUGGGGAAUUCCAUUCUAGUCCAAUUUCCUCUUUUCAUAGAUCAGGCUUGGGAGAGUCCAUUUCCAAGAGAUAAUUAAAUAAAAGAUACAAAAGGGAUAGGAACUGGAAUGCAGACUUACUCUGCCAAGUCUUUAUAGGUUGCUGUAUAUGGUGAGAAUUUUUGUAUGCUUGUACUUUUGUAGUAUUUACAUCAGCCUGGCUCUUGGUGUCCCAGAUGAGAGAGGAAAAGAUGUAUUUGAAGGUGUCAGUGCCCUUUAGCCAAAGACCACUGGAAGCAUACUUGGUUAAAUAAGUUGGGUUUAUUACUCAUUGUAGGGAACCAUGGGGUACUCUCAGUGAGAGUGUGUUGGAAAGAACAUAUUAUAGGAUUUGGGCUUCAGUUGGCUGAGUUAGGGGAGAGUCUCAGGAAGCAGGAGUUUCGUCUAGACUGGAUGCUGUCAGAAAGCGAGGACAAUUCUAUGAUUGGGCAUUUUGUGGGUGGCACAGUGACCUUGUUUUUGUUUGUGCUUAAACCAAAUUAUGAAGUGGUCUUGUUUCAUUUUAUCGUGAUCUCAGAGUAACCUUGUUCGAGGCGGGUGUUCUGUGAGUUUGUUUAUGUCCAAGAGGAGAACAAAAAUGGCCUGGCUGUGAAUGUCAGAUGAGCUUAUAAAAAUAUUGAAGUUUAGUUGUGAACAUCAGAUUAGUUUGGAUAUCAGAGGUUGUUUUUUUUCUUUUUCAGAGGUCAUUAUUCUUAAUCAUCUCAAAUAUUAAAGAGUAAAACAGAUCUUUUUGUCUGAAGCCAAGGCUCAUCCAAGGGAGCAUAACCUUGUUCGGGGUGGGGUCUUAACUGCUGAGUCAUAGGAAACAAUUAAAGCAAAGAAACCUCACAAGCAGGUGGCCAACACUUUGUGAGUAUAUCAGAUUCUUAUUCCACAUAAUCUUCAAUAGAAUAAAAGAGAAAGAAACAGAUCUUCCUGAUUUGGGCCAAGAACACUCAAGAGGCACACUCACAGAAUUGCAUUAGAACGGAGAGGCGAUAGUUGUGAACUCAAAACCUGGCUUAUAGAGCAACACUUGCCAUUGUCACACAACUGGUUAGUGUCAGAUUUAGGACUAGAACUCAGGCCUCUGACCCCCAGUUCGGUGCUAUUAAAUCCCCAGUGCCUAGCACAUGGCCUGGUACACAGCAGGCAUCCAGGGAAGGGUUACUGAAUGGAUCAAUGAAUUCAGCACAGAUAUUUAGUUUGGAAAUGGAUUGGCCAAAGGUGACAGUGAAAUCGGUCAUCAUUUAACUGACUGAAUAUGACUGGCCUCCCGACUUGCCCUGCCCCUGCCUGCCAUUCUCAGCUUAGCCCUUCUGCCCAAGACGCUUAGUCUUCAAAAGGAAGCAUAGGCUCAGGUAGUUCCUGUUUCUUCUACAGCCUCUGAUCUGUGUCUGCGGCAGACCGAAGUUGCUUGUAUUGGUUCUCCAGCAAUAGGUCUCAGCAAUACUCAGGAACCAACGAAAACCCUUUGAAGAGUCCUUUAUGUAGAGAGGUAAAUUUUCUGAAUAAAAAAAUGUUACAACAUUCAUUUUUCAACAUCAAUCAAAUUGGCACUCAUACAUAGGAGUUGACAUUAUUCAUAAUGGCAUCUAGAACCAAUUGUUUUUCUCCCUUUCUGGCCCUUAAUAAGUAUGUUUUCCAUGGAAACGAUCAAUCAUAUUUUAAAUUACUUCAGAACUCAUAAGAUCUGAUCAUCAUUCCUAUACUUAAUGCUGCACCCCCAAUGCUUUUGAAGGAUAAUGGGACUGGAAGGGAAGUAAAUAUUUCCUUCUUACAGCAGUGUAGCUCAUAAUUAAUUAUCAUCAUCUCCUAUUAAUGAGAUAUCUUUGAUCCUGCUAAUUGAUAAUGAGACUAUUUUCCUAAGCACAGAAUAAAAGCAAUAUUAAACUGUUUAGUCUUUGUCCGCUUAAUGGCCAAACAUUAAUCAAGUGAGUUUAUAGGAACAAUUAAUCAAAAAGUUUAAAUAACUGAUUUUUUAAUGAUUUGCUGGCCACACUGGUUAAGAAAACCUCUUACUUAGCACAUUGGCUUUCUCAAUAGCAGAGAGGUAAUUUUAGUGAGCUUGAAGGAACAUUAGGGAAGGGGACUACAAGAUAGAAUGAACUAUAGGGUCGUCAUUAUCAUAACACAACCAUGAUGCUUUCACAUAAUUAUUACUACUUCACAGAAGUCCUGUGAGGUGUAAUUUUUAUUCCCAUUUUACAGAUAAGGACCUCAGGGCUACAAGAUGUUAGGAAAUUCAUCCAAUGUAAGUGGUAGAACCAAAAUUUAAAUGCAAAUUUUUGAACUCUAAAUCCUAUUCUGGGUUCAGCACUUUUUGCUAUAUCACUUAGCCUCGUAAUCUGAUUAAUGUCAAAAGAAAAUAUGAAGUGCCUGCCAGUGGCCGAGGGGUUAA